rnacentral:rRNA from 1 species
UACGGAGGGUGCGAGCGUUGUCCGGAAUCACUGGGCGUAAAGGGCGCGUAGGCGGCUCCGGCAGUCUGUGGUGAAAGCCCAGGGCUCAACUCUGGGUCGGCCACGGAUACUCCGGGGCUGGAGCACACUAGAGGCGGAUGGAAUUCCGGGUGUAGCGGUGGAAUGCGUAGAGAUCCGGAGGAACACCGACGGCGUAGGCAGCGCCCUAGACGAGACCUGACGCUCAGGCACGAAAGCGCGGGAGCGAACAGG